rnacentral:tRNA from 2 species
GCGAAGGUGGCGGAAUAGGAAGACGCACUAACUUCAGGAGUUAGUGUCUUAUCAAGACAUGAGGGUUCAAAUCCCUUCCUUCGCA